rnacentral:rRNA from 1 species
GGGUUGUGAGGUUAAGCGACUAAGCGUACACGGUGGAUGCCCUGGCAGUCAGAGGCGAUGAAGGACGUGCUAAUCUGCGAUAAGCGUCGGUAAGGUGAUAUGAACCGUUAUAACCGGCGAUUUCCGAAUGGGGAAACCCAGUGUGUUUCGACACACUAUCAUUAACUGAAUCCAUAGGUUAAUGAGGCGAACCGGGGGAACUGAAACAUCUAAGUACCCCGAGGAAAAGAAAUCAACCGAGAUUCCCCCAGUAGCGGCGAGCGAACGGGGAGCAGCCCAGAGCCUGAAUCAGUGUGUGUGUUAGUGGAAGCGUCUGGAAAGGCGUGCGAUACAGGGUGACAGCCCCGUACACAAAAAUGCACAUGCUGUGAGCUCGAUGAGUAGGGCGGGACACGUGGUAUCCUGUCUGAAUAUGGGGGGACCAUCCUCCAAGGCUAAAUACUCCUGACUGACCGAUAGUGAACCAGUACCGUGAGGGAAAGGCGAAAAGAACCCCGGCGAGGGGAGUGAAAAAGAACCUGAAACCGUGUACGUACAAGCAGUGGGAGCACGCUUAGGCGUGUGACUGCGUACCUUUUGUAUAAUGGGUCAGCGACUUAUAUUCUGUAGCAAGGUUAACCGAAUAGGGGAGCCGAAGGGAAACCGAGUCUUAACUGGGCGUUAAGUUGCAGGGUAUAGACCCGAAACCCGGUGAUCUAGCCAUGGGCAGGUUGAAGGUUGGGUAACACUAACUGGAGGACCGAACCGACUAAUGUUGAAAAAUUAGCGGAUGACUUGUGGCUGGGGGUGAAAGGCCAAUCAAACCGGGAGAUAGCUGGUUCUCCCCGAAAGCUAUUUAGGUAGCGCCUCGUGAAUUCAUCUCCGGGGGUAGAGCACUGUUUCGGCAAGGGGGUCAUCCCGACUUACCAACCCGAUGCAAACUGCGAAUACCGGAGAAUGUUAUCACGGGAGACACACGGCGGGUGCUAACGUCCGUCGUGAAGAGGGAAACAACCCAGACCGCCAGCUAAGGUCCCAAAGUCAUGGUUAAGUGGGAAACGAUGUGGGAAGGCCCAGACAGCCAGGAUGUUGGCUUAGAAGCAGCCAUCAUUUAAAGAAAGCGUAAUAGCUCACUGGUCGAGUCGGCCUGCGCGGAAGAUGUAACGGGGCUAAACCAUGCACCGAAGCUGCGGCAGCGACGCUGAUGCGUUGUUGGGUAGGGGAGCGUUCUGUAAGCCUGCGAAGGUGUGCUGUGAGGCAUGCUGGAGGUAUCAGAAGUGCGAAUGCUGACAUAAGUAACGAUAAAGCGGGUGAAAAGCCCGCUCGCCGGAAGACCAAGGGUUCCUGUCCAACGUUAAUCGGGGCAGGGUGAGUCGACCCCUAAGGCGAGGCCGAAAGGCGUAGUCGAUGGGAAACAGGUUAAUAUUCCUGUACUUGGUGUUACUGCGAAGGGGGGACGGAGAAGGCUAUGUUGGCCGGGCGACGGUUGUCCCGGUUUAAGCGUGUAGGCUGGUUUUCCAGGCAAAUCCGGAAAAUCAAGGCUGAGGCGUGAUGACGAGGCACUACGGUGCUGAAGCAACAAAUGCCCUGCUUCCAGGAAAAGCCUCUAAGCAUCAGGUAACAUCAAAUCGUACCCCAAACCGACACAGGUGGUCAGGUAGAGAAUACCAAGGCGCUUGAGAGAACUCGGGUGAAGGAACUAGGCAAAAUGGUGCCGUAACUUCGGGAGAAGGCACGCUGAUAUGUAGGUGAAGUCCCUCGCGGAUGGAGCUGAAAUCAGUCGAAGAUACCAGCUGGCUGCAACUGUUUAUUAAAAACACAGCACUGUGCAAACACGAAAGUGGACGUAUACGGUGUGACGCCUGCCCGGUGCCGGAAGGUUAAUUGAUGGGGUUAGCCGCAAGGCGAAGCUCUUGAUCGAAGCCCCGGUAAACGGCGGCCGUAACUAUAACGGUCCUAAGGUAGCGAAAUUCCUUGUCGGGUAAGUUCCGACCUGCACGAAUGGCGUAAUGAUGGCCAGGCUGUCUCCACCCGAGACUCAGUGAAAUUGAACUCGCUGUGAAGAUGCAGUGUACCCGCGGCAAGACGGAAAGACCCCGUGAACCUUUACUAUAGCUUGACACUGAACAUUGAGCCUUGAUGUGUAGGAUAGGUGGGAGGCUUAGAAGUGUGGACGCCAGUCUGCAUGGAGCCGACCUUGAAAUACCACCCUUUAAUGUUUGAUGUUCUAACGUUGACCCGUAAUCCGGGUUGCGGACAGUGUCUGGUGGGUAGUUUGACUGGGGCGGUCUCCUCCUAAAGAGUAACGGAGGAGCACGAAGGUUGGCUAAUCCUGGUCGGACAUCAGGAGGUUAGUGCAAUGGCAUAAGCCAGCUUGACUGCGAGCGUGACGGCGCGAGCAGGUGCGAAAGCAGGUCAUAGUGAUCCGGUGGUUCUGAAUGGAAGGGCCAUCGCUCAACGGAUAAAAGGUACUCCGGGGAUAACAGGCUGAUACCGCCCAAGAGUUCAUAUCGACGGCGGUGUUUGGCACCUCGAUGUCGGCUCAUCACAUCCUGGGGCUGAAGUAGGUCCCAAGGGUAUGGCUGUUCGCCAUUUAAAGUGGUACGCGAGCUGGGUUUAGAACGUCGUGAGACAGUUCGGUCCCUAUCUGCCGUGGGCGCUGGAGAACUGAGGGGGGCUGCUCCUAGUACGAGAGGACCGGAGUGGACGCAUCACUGGUGUUCGGGUUGUCAUGCCAAUGGCACUGCCCGGUAGCUAAAUGCGGAAGAGAUAAGUGCUGAAAGCAUCUAAGCACGAAACUUGCCCCGAGAUGAGUUCUCCCUGACUCCUUGAGAGUCCUGAAGGAACGUUGAAGACGACGACGUUGAUAGGCCGGGUGUGUAAGCGCAGCGAUGCGUUGAGCUAACCGGUACUAAUGAACCGUGAGGCUUAACCUUACAACGCCGAAG